rnacentral:rRNA from 1 species
AUGUGUUGCCUUUUCCCCCUGCCCACAACAAGUUACUCUAUUAGACCUCAGUAUCUGAUAUCUUUCUCUUUUCAGUGGUUUCUGAAGCUAUUUACUAAUGAUUACCUUGCAAACUACAUGACUGGAGUGGAGGCAACUAAAGUUAAAGUAUAUAAUUCAUGCUACCAUGAUAAUGCUCUAGAAGUCUUCCUGAAGGCGGUGAAGGAUGGGCGGGCGAUCGUCGCAAGGGGUUGGACAAAAGUGGUGCCUAUGGCAUGCAGGAAGAAACAUUAUGGGCAUUCCGCUUCUUCAACACCGUCGGCAGUCAAAAUGAUUUACACUUGUCUCUUCACCUUUACCGCCUUUAAAUACCGCGGUUCACCAUAG